UGCCUGAGGCCCAUACAAGGCUCUUCCUUCCCGGCGUGUCUGGCAGGCGGCCCGCGGGCGGCUGUGGGCGGGAGUUCGGCCCUCCGGGUCCGCCCGCGCCCUGAAGCCGGCGGCCAGGGGACCCGCUGCCAAGGAGGGGGCGGCGGCGGGGCCGGGAACGAGCGGCCCGGCCUGGCUGAGGAACCAGCAGGCCCCCACAGGCCCUCGUACAGUGCCUCCAGGGACUUAAACCUGCCGCAGCCAUGUGAUUACCCUGAUCUAUCUGCUGGGAGAUGAGCAAAGCUCAGAGAGGGACCAGAUCUCAGCAGAGACGAAACCAGCAGCAGUUCCUGAACACCCACCCCGCCGUGGUUCCAGAAGUGCAACAUGGACCAACCUGUGAGCAUUUGCUCUUCCUCAGGUGAGGCAGGGAGAUAAAAGCUCAGAGCUUGGGAGUAACAAGUCAAGUAAUAUGCCAGGGAGGGGGCUUUUAGCACUAAGAAGCCUCUGGACUUGAUCCAGAGUAAAAUCACUCACAGACUUCCAGUCUUUGGUGGUAAGCACAGGCACACGCUGUGAAUAAGGCCAAAAUAGAAGAAGUCUUGUCUGUCUCUCUGGCCUCAGGGAGUGCCUGUGAUUUGGGUACAUGGAGAGGAGAUGAUCUCUAAGGCCCAUGACUGAAGGUUUAGGGGUUACAUUUCGGAAAAAAAAACUGGGUCUGGGCCUGGGCUGCACACCCAGGGACUAGGACACCUCUGGACUUGUUCCUACCUAAGGCUGCAGGCCUCCAGCGGCCUCUUCUUUCCAUUUAUGAUCUGGGAUUGUGGGUAAUGUAGUCCAGUGGCCAGUUUCUCUGGGGUGGUGGUUCUUGCCCUUCCCUCAUCUAGUCUCCUUACCCUUGCCAGCUACCACCCCCUUCUGCUCCAGGCUGAGGGCAGCACAGGGUGAGAAGGCGGUGCUUACUCUUUGCAGGGCUGGGAGAUUCCCAGCUGGAAACCAGCAAGCUAUUCAUAGCUGAACCUAGCAGAGGAGGAAGGCCUGAGAGAAGCUGGGGAGCUCCGGCAGCCUCCUCUCCAGCUACAGAAUUUGCAGGAACCCCAGACCUCUGCUGGGCAGGCCUUGUGUUCACUUCUGGGUGAGAGGGCUUCGAGCCUGGGAAAAUCCUAUGGAGCAGUAGCGGUCCUGCGUUGCUCCCUGUCUUGAGAGACACAGAUACUCCAGUGGCCCUGGGGCCCAGCUUUUAGGCCUGUGUAUGGUGGGGAUAUUUGGAACCUGAGUAUAGAUAAGCUGAGACUUUUUGCAAAAAAAGCCAGUGUGACACCCAGUAUGACAGUUGCCUAGAAAUUCUAGAAUUUCUUUGCAUUUUUCUUCUCGUUGUUUUCCUGUGCUUGCUUCUUCAACCAAAUUAAAUUCUCUCUAAGGACAGGAACCAAACCUUCUCUUGCCAAUGGCACCAACCCUGUAUUUAUGCUAUAA